UUCUCCUACGGGAAGGCAGCAGUAGGGAAUCUUCGGCAAUGGGGGCAACCCUGACCGAGCAACGCCGCGUGAGUGAAGAAGGUUUUCGGAUCGUAAAGCUCUGUUGUAAGAGAAGAACGUCUGUGAGAGUGGAAAGUUCACACAGUGCCGGUAACUUCCCAGAAAGGGACGGCUAAUUCCGUCCCGCCAGCCGCGUUAAUACGUAGUUCCCGACGCGUUGUCCGGAUUUAUUGGGUGUAAACGCGACGCGCAGCCGGUUUAAUAUGUCAGAAGAUAAAGGCAGUGGUCUUAACCAGAUUCGCUUGGAAACUGUAGACUUGAGUC
rnacentral:rRNA from 1 species